UAGAAAUAAUUCCUAAUAAUUUUAAAAUAACUUGAUUGAUAAUAAAAAGUGAAAUUAUAGCUCUUUAAAUAAAGAACUCAAACCUAAGAUAAAGUUUUACACUUAGACUCCAACUCAAAUGCUUAAAAAGGUGACUUACUAUAAAUAGUAUUCCUAUUAAACUGUUUGGUUUUCGGUCAAAAAUAAUAAGUGUCCAGUUUGGCCCAACCAUGUUAUUCUCUUGACUUUUCUAAGCCCUUUUAUAUUAAGCACGACUUUCACAAAUCAAAAGAUCAAAAGUUAUACUCGAAUUAAAUCUUACUACUUAUACCAAAAACAAAACUAAAUGGAACUUUUGACUGUCAAUAUGAUAGAAUCUCGCAAAUCUGGUGUUGGCAACUGAGAAUAGCAGGGUUAGUUAACUUAAGUGGGUCCUCUUAUCCGAAAAUAAUAUAUAAUAUGUUGAAAAACUCAUCCCAAUUUGUGAGAUAUGGCUGAUAUAAGGUUCUGACAGUUUGGAUCAUUUCUGCCUUGUUCCGACCUUCUCUAGUCCAUCUUUUGCUGUGAAAGUGUAUGCAGCCCGCUCUACAUCAGAAAUGCAGUUAAAUUGGCCUCGUCAGGUAGAAUCAGUCUUCAGCUUAAUGAACUGUAAGUGUGUUAGAUAAGAGAAAAGGAUUUUGUGUAGAUUUCUUGCUGGAACCACACCUGCUCUGACAACUAGGCCAACGUAAUGAUCGAAUCAACCUGAUUUUUUGUUUAUAUA